CUCAGGUGACUGCGGAGGAUCAUUACCAAUUUCAACGUCCAUUUAUGGACUUGAAAACCCCCACCCUUGUUUAUUCAACCUUUGUUGCCUCGGCGGGUUCGCCCGCCAGAGGACCCUUCUAAACUCUUGUUGUAAACGGCGUUUGUCUGAGCUACAAAGCAAUUGUUUAAAACUUUCAACAACGGAUCUCUUGGUUCUGGCAUCGAUGAAGAACGCAGCGAAAUGCGAUAAGUAGUGUGAAUUGCAGAAUUCAGUGAAUCAUCGAAUCUUUGAACGCACAUUGCGCCCUUUGGCAUCCCGAAGGGCAUGCCUGUUCGAGCGUCAUUAUCACCAUUCAAGCCUGGCUUGGUAUUGGGUGCCGUCCUGCCCUCUGCGGCGUGGACGCUCCCUAAAACUAUCGGCGGUGCAGCACCGGCUUCGAGCGUAGCAGACCUUCGCUUUCGGGGACCCGGUGAGGCAGCGGCCGCGACGCACAACCUUUUGGUUGACCUCGGAUCAGGUAGGGAUACCCGCUGAACUUAAGCAUAUCAAA
rnacentral:rRNA from 1 species